rnacentral:rRNA from 1 species
AUUGAACGCUGGCGGCAGGCCUAACACAUGCAAGUCGAGCGGAUGAAGGGAGCUUGCUCCUGGAUUCAGCGGCGGACGGGUGAGUAAUGCCUAGGAAUCUGCCUGGUAGUGGGGGAUAACGUCCGGAAACGGGCGCUAAUACCGCAUACGUCCUGAGGGAGAAAGUGGGGGAUCUUCGGACCUCACGCUAUCAGAUGAGCCUAGGUCGGAUUAGCUAGUUGGUGGGGUAAAGGCCUACCAAGGCGACGAUCCGUAACUGGUCUGAGAGGAGGAUCAGUCACACUGGAACUGGGACACGGUCCAGACUCCUACGGGAGGCAGCAGUGGGGAAUAUUGGACAAUGGGCGAAAGCCUGAUCCAGCCAUGCCGCGUGUGUGAAGAAGGUCUUCGGAUUGUAAAGCACUUUAAGUUGGGAGGAAGGGCAGUAAGUUAAUACCUUGCUGUUUUGACGUUACCAGCAGAAUAAGCACCGGCUAACUUCGUG